rnacentral:rRNA from 1 species
UGGGGAAUUUUGGACAAUGGGGGAAACCCUGAUCCAGCCAUCCCGCGUGUGCGAUGAAGGCCUUCGGGUUGUAAAGCACUUUUGGCAGGAAAGAAACGUCAUGGGUUAAUACCCCGUGAAACUGACGGUACCUGCAGAAUAAGCACCGGCUAACUACGUGCCAGCAGCCGCGGUAAUACGUAGGGUGCAAGCGAUAAUCGGAAUUACUGGGCGUAAAGCGUGCGCAGGCGGUUCGGAAAGAAAGAUGUGAAAUCCCAGAGCUCAACUUUGAAACUGCAUUUUUAACUACCGGGCUAGAGUGUGUCAGAGGGAAGUGGAAUUCCGCGUGUAGCAGUGAAAUGCGUAGAUAUGCGGAGGAACACCUAUGGCUAAGGCAGCCUCCUGGGAUAACACUGACGCUCAUGCACGAAAGCGUGGGGAGCAAACAGG